UACGAAGGGGGCUAGCGUUGUUCGGAUUUACUGGGCGUAAAGCGCACGUAGGCGGAUUUUUAAGUCAGGGGUGAAAUCCCGGGGCUCAACCCCGGAACUGCCUUUGAUACUGGAAGUCUUGAGUAUGGUAGAGGUGAGUGGAAUUCCGAGUGUAGAGGUGAAAUUCGUAGAUAUUCGGAGGAACACCAGUGGCGAAGGCGGCUCACUGGACCAUUACUGACGCUGAGGU
rnacentral:rRNA from 1 species